GUGUUGUAUGAAAGGAGAGAAGGUUGUCACUCCUCUUGACAAGGAUGGAAGAGGCCCUCGGGUAUGGUUAAGGCAUUACCACCUACUGCAUGGCAACUAUCCAUUGUUUUUA
rnacentral:ncRNA from 1 species